rnacentral:rRNA from 1 species
UACAGAGGUCCCAAGCGUUGUUCGGAUUUACUGGGCGUAAAGGGUGCGUAGAUGGCGAGGUAAGUUUGAUGUGAAAUCUCCGAGCUCAACUCGGAAAUGGCAUUGAAUACUAUCCCGCUUGAGGGUCGGAGGGGAGACUGGAAUUCUCGGUGUAGCAGUGAAAUGCGUAGAUAUCAGGAGGAACACCUGUGGUGUAGACAGCUUACUGGACCACUUCUGACGCUGAGACACGAAAGCGUGGGUAGCAAACAGG